rnacentral:rRNA from 1 species
CCCUUAGAUGUUCUGGGCCGCACGCGCGCUACACUGAUGCAUGCAACGAGUUCUAUCCUUGGCCGGAAGGCCUGGGUAAUCUGUGAACGUGCAUCGUGAUAGGGACAGAUUAUUGCAAUUAUUAAUCUUGAACGAGGAAUUCCUAGUAAACGCAAGUCAUCAGCUUGCAUUGAUUACGUCCCUGCCCUUUGUACACACCGCCCGUCGCACCUACCGAUCGAAGGUAAUGAUGAGCCCUCAGGAUUGUGGCCUCGUCGCGUCAGCGUCUUGGCUGCGAGAAUCUGUGCAAAUCCCUACCUUUAGAGGAAGGUGAAGUCGUANCA